rnacentral:rRNA from 1 species
AACGAACGCUGGCGGCAGGCCUAACACGUGCAAGUCGAACGCUCCGCAAGGGGAGUGGCGCACGGGUGAGUAACACGUGGGAACCUACCUUCUGGUACGGAACAACCAAGGGAAACUUUGGCUAAGACCGUAUACGACCUCCGGGUGAAAGAUUGAUCGCCGGAAGAGGGGCCCGCGUCCGAUUAGGUAGUUGGUGAGGUAACGGCUCACCAAGCCUUCGAUCGGUAGCUGGUCUGAGAGGAUGACCAGCCACACUGGGACUGAGACACGGCCCAGACUCCUACGGGAGGCAGCAGUGGGGAAUAUUGGACAAUGGGCGCAAGCCUGAUCCAGCCAUGCCGCGUGAGUGAUGAAGGCCUCGGUUGGUUAAGUACGUCUUUCUACCCACCGACGACUAGAUGACGGUAGUGGGAGGAAGAAGACCCGGCCGU